UGAGGAAUAUUGGUCAAUGGGCGGGGAGCCUGAACCAGCCAAGCCGCGUGAGGGAAGAAGGUACAGCUAUCGUAAACCUCUUUUGUCAGGGAACAAAGGCGGGGACUAGUCCCCGGAUGAGGGUACCUGAAGAAAAAGCAUCGGCUAACUCCGUGCC
rnacentral:rRNA from 1 species